UUAAUGAGCUUGAAUAGCAAUUGUUUUGAAAACAAUAGAUAAAGACUCACUUUCUUUAUUAACUUUACUA
rnacentral:tRNA from 1 species